rnacentral:rRNA from 1 species
CAGCCGCCGCGGGAAUACGAAGGGGGCUAGCGUUGCUCGGAAUGACUGGGCGUAAAGGGCGCGUAGGCGGAUUGUUUAGUUAGGCGUGAAAUUCCUGGGCUUAACCUGGGGACUGCGCUUAAUACAGGCAGUCUAGAGUGAGGAAGAGGGUUGUGGAAUUCCCAGUGUAGAGGUGAAAUUCGUAGAUAUUGGGAAGAACACCGGUGGCGAAGGCGGCAACCUGGUCCUUGACUGACGCUGAGGCGCGAAAGCGUGGGGAGCAAACAGGAUUAGAUACCCCCGUAGUCCCUGUCUCUUAUAC